AUGGCGCCUCGUCGCCGAGCAGGAGACCCACCACCCGUGUUUGACGACAUUGACUACUUAUCAAACUUCAGUCUUUGCAUCAAUUUUGGUGGUUACUUCCUUGGAGUUGGUAAAAAUCGUGCAUAUGUCAAUGGAGAAAACAUGUGGUAUGAUUAUGUGGAGGGGGAUACACUUACUGUGGAGAAGUUAGAAGAUCUGGUAGAAGAAUUGGGCUAUGAAGUGAAGGGAAGAUUGCAAAUGUAUUACUGCAUGCCUGGUAAACCAAUGACUGAAGGUGGUCUUGUGAAAAUAAACUGCAAUGACAACUGUCUUAACAUGAGGGCACAUGUAACAUUUGGG
rnacentral:rRNA from 1 species